rnacentral:rRNA from 1 species
ACCGAGAUUCCCCCAGUAGCGGCGAGCGAACGGGGAGCAGCCCAGAGCCUGAAUCAGCAUGUGUGUUAGUGGAACGGUCUGGAAAGGCCGGCGAUACAGGGUGACAGCCCCGUACACAAAAGUGCAUAUGUUGUGAGCUCGAUGAGUAGGGCGGGACACGUGGUAUCCUGUCUGAAUAUGGGGGGACCAUCCUCCAAGGCUAAAUACUCCUGACUGACCGAUAGUGAACCAGUACCGUGAGGGAAAGGCGAAAAGAACCCCGGCGAGGGGAGUGAAAAAGAACCUGAAACCGUGUACGUACAAGCAGUGGGAGCCUCUUUUAUGGGGUGACUGCGUACCUUUUGUAUAAUGGGUCAGCGACUUAUAUUCUGUAGCAAGGUUAACCGAAUAGGGGAGCCGAAGGGAAACCGAGUCUUAACUGGGCGUUAAGUUGCAGGGUAUAGAC